UAAAGAGAUGAGGAAAUUUUUUGGUAGAGAGAGGAGCCGAUUUGAGUGCUGCUAGAUCAAUUGUAUGUUCUGAAUCCUCCGAUGUAGGCAAACCACUAGCCAUGACAGAAAUUAGGUUCAAGUCUCCAGAUAUCCUAACUUCACUAACCAGCCAUGGUUCCAAGGUUUCACGAUAUGCAAAAGAUGUUAUGUGCUUUCCAUCAACUGUCAUCUGGAUUCCCUCUGAUCCUACUCUAAUUGUUGCAACAGAUAAAUGACCUUGCUUGAAGGGAAAGAAUAUUCUUCUUUUAGAUCCCUCCUGAACCAUUGAAGACCUCUUUGAACCUUCUGAAUGUGUGCCAGUCACCAGAGUAUCAUUUCUACCCACUACCUUGUUACAUUGAUCCAACUCAUCCACUUUCUUAUUCUUUUCAGGAUUAGGAGAUGGGCAACGCUCCUCCUCACCCCAAUCAUGAGCUACAGUCCAGGUGUUUUGAACUAUAACUGGAUCCUCAGUUAUCUUAUCACCAUAAAGCCUAACAUUGUAAUGUAAAAUGAUGGGUGGAUCAGGCUCCCCAGGAAGUGCUUCCCCUGUUAAGUCGAUCCGAAAAUUGCCAAGAAGACCAUUUGGAAUGCCUAUAAUUGUUAUGGAUGAACCCUGAGUCAGGCCACAAGGAAGCCGCAACUUAAAACCACUACUCUCAAGCACUGUGGCAUUCACUUUGUUAAGAAAAUGAGGACAUUGUUUCUCUUUUGCUUUCCUAAUUAAACUUUCAUUUGUAUAACCAUGUCUUUCCUCUUCGAUUGAAGCCAUAAGGCUAUUCCAUGCACUCCCAGCUUCCUUGAUAGCCUCCACUCCAUUGGGUAAAGCUUGAGCUUGAUCAAUCAAGUGUUUCAGUAGAUUCCAUGUGUGCAAAGAUUCUUGUUCUUCAUUGGAAAUAUUCCUCUGAGCAAACAAACUGAAUACUAUGGCAUCAGUAGAAAUCACUUGAGUAGAAUUCUC
rnacentral:misc_RNA from 1 species